GAAGUCGGAAUCCGCUAAGGAGUGUGUAACAACUCACCUGCCGAAUGAAGUAGCCCUGAAAAUGGAUGACGCUUAAGCGGGUAGCCGAUACUACGCCGUCUAGAAAAUAUGUUUUUAGAUGAGUAGGGGGGCGUGGUGAUCGUAUCGAAGCAUGCGUGCGAACGCGUGUGGAACGGUCACUAGUGCAGAUCUUGGUGGUAGUAGCAAAUAUUCAAGUGAGAACCUUGAAGGGCGAAGCGGGGAAGGGUUCCAUGCGAACAUUGAUUGGGCAUGGGUGAGUCGUACCUAAGCCGAGUGGCAAUUGCUUACUCACGCGGCGAAAGGGAAGCGGGUUGAAAUUCCCGCACACGGAUGUGGAAGCGGCGACGCAUUACUGGGGCGGUGACGUUGGCAGUGGCGCUGGCAGAGUUGUCUUUUCUGUUACCGCCUGACGCUUGCACUGUGGAAUCCGCUUGUCGGGAGAAACAGGCAGGCACGGGUAGAGCGCCGGGCUUUUUCCGGCGUCCAGCUCGCCACUGACGGCCCUUGAAAAACUGUCCUCAGAUAUUAAACUCCACGCCGUGGCGUACCGAUAUCCGCAUCAGGUCCCCAAGGUGAACAGCCUCUGCUCGAUAUGAAAAAUGCAGGUAAGGGAAGUCGGCAAAUUAGACCCGUAACUUUGGGAAAAGGGUUGGCUCUAGUGCUGCGUGAGGACUGGUUGUUGUCUGCUGGUGCAGUCCGGUGGCUGUCGGCCGAGCGCUGGGUCGCAAGAUCUGUGCUUGCUGAUGCUACUGUCUGUGCCACGGGCGACGACGCUCACAGCAU
rnacentral:rRNA from 1 species